rnacentral:rRNA from 1 species
UACGGAGGGGGCAAGCGUUGUUCGGAAUCACUGGGUGUAAAGGGUGCGUAGGCGGUCCGCUAAGUCUGAUGUGAAAGCCCUGGGCUUAACUCAGGAAUUGCAUUGGAAACUGACGGGCUGGAGUACUGGAGAGGGAAGCGGAAUUCCUGGUGUAGCGGUGAAAUGCGUAGAUACCAGGAGGAACACCGGUGGCGAAGGCGGCUUCCUGGCCAAGUACUGACGCUGAGGCACGAAAGCGUGGGGAGCGAACGGG